rnacentral:rRNA from 1 species
GACGAACGCUGGCGGCGUGCUUAACACAUGCAAGUCGAACGGAAAGGCCCUGCUUUUGUGGGGUGCUCGAGUGGCGAACGGGUGAGUAACACGUGAGUAACCUGCCCUUGACUUUGGGAUAACUUCAGGAAACUGGGGCUAAUACCGGAUAGGAGCUCCUGCUGCAUGGUGGGGGUUGGAAAGUUUCGGCGGUUGGGGAUGGACUCGCGGCUUAUCAGCUUGUUGGUGGGGUAGUGGCUUACCAAGGCUUUGACGGGUAGCCGGCCUGAGAGGGUGACCGGCCACAUUGGGACUGAGAUACGGCCCAGACUCCUACGGGAGGCAGCAGUGGGGAAUAUUGCACAAUGGGCGGAAGCCUGAUGCAGCAACGCCGCGUGCGGGAUGACGGCCUUCGGGUUGUAAACCGCUUUCGCCUGUGACGAAGCGUGAGUGACGGUAAUGGGUAAAGAAGCACCGGCUAACUACGUGCCAGCAGCCGCGGUGAUACGUAGGGGUGCGAGCGUUGUCCGGAUUUAUUGGGCGUAAAGGGCUCGUAGGUGGUUGAUCGCGUCGGAAGUGUAAUCUUGGGGCUUAACCCUGAGCGUGCUUUCGAUACGGGUUGACUUGAGGAAGGUAGGGGAGAAUGGAAUUCCUGGUGGAGCGGUGGAAUGCGCAGAUAUCAGGAGGAACACCAGUGGCGAAGGCGGUUCUCUGGGCCUUUCCUGACGCUGAGGAGCGAAAGCGUGGGGAGCGAACAGGCUUAGAUACCCUGGUAGUCCACGCUGUAAACGGUGGGUACUAGGUGUGGGGUCCAUUCCACGGGUUCCGUGCCGUAGCUAACGCUUUAAGUACCCCGCCUGGGGAGUACGGCCGCAAGGCUAAAACUCAAAGGAAUUGACGGGGCCCCGCACAAGCGGCGGAGCAUGCGGAUUAAUUCGAUGCAACGCGUAGAACCUUACCUGGGUUUGACAUGGAUCGGGAGUGCUCAGAGAUGGGUGUGCCUCUUUUGGGGUCGGUUCACAGGUGGUGCAUGGCUGUCGUCAGCUCGUGUCGUGAGAUGUUGGGUUAAGUCCCGCAACGAGCGCAACCCUUGUUCACUGUUGCCAGCACGUUAUGGUGGGGACUCAGUGGAGACCGCCGGGGUCAACUCGGAGGAAGGUGGGGAUGACGUCAAGUCAUCAUGCCCCUUAUGUCCAGGGCUUCACGCAUGCUACAAUGGCUGGUACAGAGAGUGGCGAGCCUGUGAGGGUGAGCGAAUCUCGGAAAGCCGGUCUCAGUUCGGAUUGGGGUCUGCAACUCGACCUCAUGAAGUCGGAGUCGCUAGUAAUCGCAGAUCAGCAACGCUGCGGUGAAUACGUUCCCGGGGCUUGUACACACCGCCCGUCAAGUCAUGAAAGUUGGUAACACCCGAAGCCGGUGGCCUAACCGUUGUGGGGGAGCCGUCGAAGGUGGGACUGGUGAUUAGGACU